rnacentral:rRNA from 1 species
AGGACGAACGCUGGCGGCGUGCCUAACACAUGCAAGUCGAACGGGACCAGGGGCAACUCUGGUUCAGUGGCGGACGGGUGCGUAACACGUGAGGAACAUGACCUUCGGCGGGGGAUAGCCGGCCCAACGGCCGGGUAAUACCGCGUACGACCACAUGGGGACAUCCCUGAGUGGUGAAAGCAGCAAUGCGCCGAUGGAGUGCCUCGCGGCCUAUCAGCUAGUUGGUGAGGUAACGGCUCACCAAGGCAACGACGGGU